rnacentral:rRNA from 1 species
UGAGGAAUAUUGGUCAAUGGACGAAAGUCUGAACCAGCCAUGCCGCGUGAAGGAUGACGGCCCUCUGGGUUGUAAACUUCUUUUAUCUGGGACGAAAAAAGAUCAUUCCUGAUCACUUGACGGUACCAGAGGAAUAAGCACCGGCUAACUCCGUGCCAGCAGCCGCGGUAAUACGGAGGGUGCAAGCGUUAUCCGGAUUUACUGGGUUUAAAGGGUGCGUAGGUGGGUCUGUAAGUCAGUGGUGAAAUCUUCGAGCUUAACUCGGAAACUGCCAUUGAUACCAUAGGUCUUGAAUCAUCUGGAGGUGAGCGGAAUAUGUCAUGUAGCGGUGAAAUGCUUAGAUAUGACAUAGAACACCGAUUGCGAAGGCAGCUCACUACGGAUGUAUUGACACUGAGGCCCGAAAGCGUGGGGAUCAAACA